rnacentral:rRNA from 1 species
AACGUAGGGGGCGAGCGUUAUCCGGAAUUACUGGGCGUAAAGGGCGUGUAGGCGGUCAGGUGUAUCGAGGGUGAAAUCCCACGGCCCAACUGUGGGAAGACUCUCGAGAUUAUCUGACUAGAGGGUAGAAGAGGGAGAUAGAAUUCCCGGUGUAGCGGUGGAAUGCGUAGAUAUCGGGAAGAAUGCCGGUGGUGAAGACGGUCUCCCAGGCUACUCCUGACGCUGAGGCGCGAAAGCUAGGGGAGCGAACGGG